CAAAUUCAUAAAGGAAAAAAGAAAAAUCUGUGCCUUUCAAAACAGAAUUUGAUGUUUUUCAUUGUGAGUGAGUUGGUUUACGUGUCAGGUAAACUUUGAUCUUAAAAUAUCUUUCACAGGCAUGAUUUCCUCCAGAGACUAUUUUCUGUCUUGAUAUCCUCAUAAGUGAAACAAGAAUAAAUAUUUUGUUCCGUAAAAUAUUCCUCCCAUGACUAUUCCUAUCUCUCAAACUCAUCUUUGCCUGAAGAAAGUUGUAGCCAAUUUUUUGGAGAUGUUUUUAGCUUUUCAGAAAGCUUCUCUCUCUCUGAAAUAGGAAUCACUUUCUAACAUCCUAAAAAAUUGGGAAUAAAAAUAUUUCCAUAUCACAUCACCUUAAUUUAAUAUCCAGUGUUCAUAGCAAAUUUCUUCUUGGUUUCUGUCCCUUUGUUUCUCUGCUCUCUUCUCUAAUUUUUCCCUUACUCUCUCCCUGUGCCCUCCCUCUGCUUCUCUCCCCUCAACAGGAUGCCUGUGUCAGUGCAGAAAGUGAGGGAAGGUCAGCAGUGCAUGCUGCUCCUUCCAGCUCUGAUCUGGCAGGUGGAGGAGUUUCACCCUUCUGCCCAAACCAUUUAGCACCAAAGCCAUUUAGAAUGAGUAAGCGAACAUCCAAGAACUAGAAGCCAAAUAAGGUAAGCAUUGGCCACAUUGUUAUUGUUAGGUCUGUUUUAUGGAGGAGUGGGUAUGUGUGCGUGUGGUGGGCCGCCUGCAAUGUUAAGAGAACUCAAAUAAUUGACAAUUAUUUUCCAUUUAUCUCAAGGAUUAACUAAAGAAGGAAGUCCUCAAAAUACAUCAUUUUUAUAGUAAACUAGCUUAUGUCCUAUCUGAUGAAAGACAAAUUGGGAAACAUUUGAAAUGUUACCUACAGGCAUCAAUUUUGGGUGAUAUCUAUUCAAACUGCCUGUAACCUUAUUAUGUUAUCAUCCAAAAAAAAGAUGUCUAUAGAAAAGAAGAAUAAAAUACUAAGUAAAUAGCUUGUUCUUUACCUA
rnacentral:lncRNA from 1 species